rnacentral:lncRNA from 1 species
GUGCAGCUCACUGUCCUUGGUAAAUUCCAAUUGCUGCUGAUUCUGAAUCUCCAGGACCCAUGUGACAUGUGAAAAAAUGUUCCUAAACUUCUACGAUCUUCCUAAUCUAGAAGCUGGUGUGGCCUGGUGGAUGGCUGGUGCUCAGGGCGGCGGGGUGACUGGAUCAAGUGGAUAUCAUUUCCUGAGCAUCUCCCAAGCCAGCUUUAGUUACAUUGAUGUAUUCAUUUAUCUAUUUUGGUACUAGGGGUUGAACCCAGGGGUGUUUUACCCUGAAGCUACAUCCCCAGACUUUAAAAAAAAAUUUUUGUCAUAGGGUCUUGCCAACUUGCUGAGGAUGGCCUUGAACUUUCGAUCCUCCUGCCUCCGCCUCCUGAGUCCCUGGGCUCAAGGCAUGCGCUGCCACAUCAUUGCAUUUAUUACCCUUUAAUCAAGUAGCAGCAUUCUUCCUGGCAUUCCAGGAAGAGAUGUAAGAAGGUCACCUCUCAUCAGAGGCCAUUCUGCUUCUCCAGGCUUCCCUUCCCGCGUCCUCAGCCUGGGGCACUCGGAGGAAAUGCGCCACAGCAGGCCAUCUCUGGUCUGUAGCUGUCAGCCCUAUUCCUUGAUCCCCCCAGUCCUCCAGUCCUGCUGCAGCUGGCUCAGCCUUCCCCUGGAGCCGGUGUGGUCCGUGCUCCUCCAGGGCCUGAUCUCUGGGCUCUCUGGGGCACCUCUGGAGAGGUGGCAGCUGUGGAUCUGCUGCCCCUGAGGGGGAGGGAAGCAGGGCCGCCCCUCCCAUCGGGCCUGUGCUCCUCGGUUGCAGUUCUGGGAAAUGACCAGGUCUGAGGAGGAAGCGGGAGCCGUGGGUUGGCAGUGCCACGCGGCUGUGGGCCCAAGGUCUUCCUGGCCAGGGUGCUUGAGGACAGGAAGUGGCGAGGGUGUGGCCUCAGACCUGGGCUUGGCAGGGAGGAUGGGAUCCAGUCUGCAGGUCAUUCCUGUGUUUGAGAAAAGAUGCUAACUGGCCUCGCAGGAUGAUUAUUCCUGGGCUUGCUGCCAUCCGAGUGGCUCUGUAAGGUGACAUGGUGGUUAGUGACACUCAGGCCCGGGGACAAGCGCACAGAGUUCUGGUUUGGCAUUCCGUCUCCCUCCAGGGGUGAGUUUUCUUCCUCUUCUUAUGGGACAGUUAAGGUUUACAUUUUCUUUUUACCGCUGAAUCUAAUUUAAUUGUGGGUUAUUUUAUUUUAUUUUUUUGUAUAUGUGCCCAGAAUUUUGGGGUUAUUGGUAAACUUUAAAAAAUACCACAGCACAUGUAAACAUAUAUAAUUUAAGAACCAGUCCUGACUGAGGCCAUGCUAUCCUUUGGAAAAUUCUUACUUGGAAGCAAUUCUAAUUAACAAGGCAUUUUCUGGUUUACUUCUUGCAUGCUCUGUUAAUAAUAAAAAGAUAGUAUCUUUUUUCCUCCUAUGAUUUAAUUUUUCCCUGUUCUGUUUCUCAAGAACCAACUCUAUUAUGGUUACCUUUAAUAAAAAAAUGUGGCUAACUUACGAUAACAAACAGCCAACAAGACAGAGAUAAGAAGAGUUGGGCCCUUAAAAGUCCGAAUUUUCCAGAUGUUCUUUUAUAAUAAAUGCAGUGAAAACGAAUUGCAGAGAAACCGCAUGAAACUACAAUUGGUUUAUUCAAAAGAAUCUCACCACUUAAAGAACAUAUCCCCUUCUUUUUUAAAAAAGGAUAUUGGGUUGGGGCUGGGGAUGUGGCUCAAGCGGUAGCACGCUCGCCUGGCAUGCGUGCGGCCCGGGUUCGAUCCUCAGCACCACAUACAAACAGAGAUGUUUGUUUGUCCGCCGAAAACUAAAAAAUAAAUAUUAAAAAAUUCUCUCUCUCUCUCUUAAAAAAAAAGAUAUUGGGUAAAUUGCUUGGCUAUUCUGGACUGUUUUAUUUUUCCUACCACUUGAGUUCCAGGUUGGGACAGUUUAGCUCCUUCCACAGAAUAUUCUCUGCCUAAGUCUGCUUUGCACCAGGGAGCAAGCGUGACCAGCUGUGACAGCUUGGUAUUCCAAAGAUACGUGACCUAAUUCUUUACUCCCGAGCAUGUCAGAGUCUACUGAGGAAGCAGUGGUUUGUUCAGGAAAGACAAGAUGGCAGCUGGGUUCUGCUGUGCACCCUGCACAGGAGGCCCUGGGCACUCACGCAGGUGACUGUUGGUGGACUGGGUCCACUUCUGGGGUGGGAAAACCUUUGAGGUGGAGGAGCUGGGUAGAUGAAAUAUUUAUUUGCCAAGCAAAAUAUGAUUCAUCUUGUAAUAUGACUUGGAGCUGUUUGAUGCUGUAUCUUAGAAACUAAGAAUUUCUUGUGCCUUUAAGGAGGUCACAUUUACCAGGCUUUUGGAGGCUGAGGAAGGAGGGUCACAAGUUCAAGGUCAGCCACAGCAAGAUAGUGAGGCCCUGUCUCAAAAUAAAAUAAAAUAAAAUAAAAUAAAAAAGGCUGGGGUGUAGCUGAGUGGAGAGUGCUCUCCUCAAGGGUGAGACCCUGGGGUCUGCUCCCUGGCACAGCAGAACGUGCAAUUAAAUGAAAACCAUGUAUAGCCAGGUGCUGAGGCCCACACCUGUAAUCCCAGCAAGUUGAAGGCUGAGGCAGGAAGCUCUCAAGUUCAAAGCCAGCCUCAGUUACUUAGUGAGACCCUAAGCAACUUAGCAAGACCUUGUCUCUAAAUAAAACUCAAAAAAAAGGGCUGGGGGUAUGGUUCAGUGGUUAAAUGCUCCUGAAUUCAAUAUGCAGUAUCAAUAAGUAAAUAAAUAAUAAAAACUUCACCUUUGCUUUUAGCAAGGGCCACCAUCGAGGGGAGAGGGCCUUGAAACUGUCAGGGGGAAGAGUUCAUUCCAGAUCAGAAUCGAACAGCAAGGUUAGAAAGUGGCUCAGGAGGAGAGCACGGGGUCCUGGCUCUGCCUAGGAGCUUGCUUGCAACCAGCCCACCCAGGCAGCAGGAAGCCAGGGGGGGCUCUGGGUGUUCAGCAGUUACAGCCCACAACCGUCCCUGCUCGAUCGUCUGAGGUUGUAGCACCAACAUUUUAUUUGCUUUUUCUUUUCUAAAUUAUGUAAAGCAUUUAUAUUGUUUUAAUAGAAAAGUUGGCAAAAAUAGAGAUGAACAGAAAGAGAAAAAGAGCCAUAAAAGGAAGACUCACCCAGAAGAAGAGCAUCUUAUUUCCCCACUUGGGUUAACCUCUAUUAAACACAAUGCCACAUACUUUUUCACUGCUGUAGGAAAUGUGUCUUGCAGCACUGAUCAAUUAAAACACUGUGCUCAGUUUCCCUUGCUACAUUGUAAAUUUAUAGACAGUAAAUUUACAUCACUCGCUUGGUCUGAUGUUUUCGAAGAAAUUCCCUUUUAUCCAACAAAUUUUAAACAAUAUGUAACAACUGCCUUUCUCCAGCAACUUAGAAUCACAAUCCCAGAUGCAAGCGUGGCUUUUCCAAAGUCACAGAAAUGAUCUGGAAGUGGACGCCACAAUGUGGGCCACAGAUGUGCCCUUCUCUGGGGCCAGGGCUUGAUGCGCCUUGAAGACCCUCUGAAGGAGAGAGAAGAGGGGAGUCUUCCCUUCUGUGGGGGUGCUGGCCGAGUGCCAAGGUCGGGAAUAGGAGCUUUGGCUGCGUCUUUCCUGGGAAGCCCAGGCCCUCCUGGCUGGGACACCUCGAGGACAGUGGGGAGUUGGCUGGCCAUCGGCGGAGUGGGGGCCAGCUGCUCCAGGAUCCUGUCCUGGGAGGAAGGGCGUGGCCUUGUGGAGUGGAAUUACCUGGGAGCAGCCCUGCUCUCUCAGGCACCCCCUCCUGGACAUUGGGGGAUUCACUGGUGUCAACUUGAGUUGAUCUUUUAAAGGCCAUGGCCAUGGGCUGCCCUGGGGACUGUCUAAUCCUACCAGAACAAAUGGAAUAAAUUGACAUGGGAACUAUUACGAAGAGAAAGUGAACCCUAAGGUGAGUAGAGGAUGAGAUGGGCCAGUAUUUAUUUGGGAUGUCUUGUAAAUCGAUGCCAUCAUUGCUACUAUUCCUCCCCACCCCCGCCAGUUCUGGGGACCAAACGCAGGGCCUUGAGAGUGGUAAACCAGGGCUCCACCACUGAGCUACACUCCUGGUAUUCUUAAUAUCUUCAUCUCUGUUUUAUAGAUAAGGAAAUAGAAGGAGGAAAAGUUAGUAUUCUUGCUCCAAGUCACAUGAAAACGAUAUCCAGGUUUUCUGGUAACUUAAUCCAGCAUGUGAUAUGAUCCAUAUUUUCUUUUGUAUAAAUGCAGAUAAUAGUGUUUCCUGUCUUGCUUUCCAUUUUUUCUUCUGCAAACCUGUUUUCUCAUCCAAGCCCUCAGUCUCUCCAUUAUCCUUGGAACACGCUGUGGAUACUACUCUCUGGGUCCCUUUGGCUCACCCCCUCCCUUUUCCGGCCACUCAUUUCUAGAUGCUCAAACUCACCUGUGUUUCUAGGACAGCCUCUGCCCUUCUCCUCUAGCCAGCCCAGAGAGAGACCUGAGAAGUGGUAGCAGUCCUUGUUACAUGAGGACAUGGCACUGUAAACUCUGCAGCCUCUGAGAGGAGCGGCCACCUGGGUAGUAGCAUCACUCUUGAGUAGUAGGUGAGGUUGACCAAGGCUGUGCAGGAAGCCAGAAAGCUGAGUGAGGACUUCGAUUGGGAAGUAUGGAUCCUAGCACAUGUUAUGUAGCAUUCCUUCCUUCAAUACCUGACAAGGACUUAGAUUUAAUGGCAGGUACAAAGCUUUGAAACUUCUGUGUGCUUUGUUUUGUGCCAUGGACUUAAGCAUCACUAAAUUGAAAUCUUGGAUCAGAGACGCAAGCCAGACACCCUUGUGUUUCCUGGGUCGGGCUUCUACCCUGGAGUUGAGCUUCUACAAAAGAUGGCUAUACGUCUGUUUUAUCAGAUUUGUUUCAGUACCUUUUUUAGGGUCAAACUAAAGGUGUGGAUGAACCCCAGCUAUCUACAAGUUAAUCCUGUUGAAUUCAAAAUCCUUGGUGUAAUGGGAAAAUGGAGACUGCUAAUUGGAACACAUCACCCUGCCUAUGUUCCCCCAACACUCAGGGAUCCAAGUGUGUGUCUGCAGCUUGGAGAAUGAAUGAUGUUGUGUUUCCACAGCAUCCGGUGUUUAAAAAUUCCUUACUUCAGCCAGGUAACUUGGUGUAUUCCUGUAAUCCCGACCACUCUGGAGGCUGAGGCAGGAGGAUUGCCAGUUCGAGGUUGGUCUGGGUAAGUUAGUGAGACCCUGUUUCAAAAAAAAAAGAAAGAAAGGAAAAAAAUGAAUCCCCUCCUAAUCUGUUCCGUAUAUAAUAGAGAUGAUUAGACAGCUCUGUGGGGAAGGGCUGCAGUUUUGCCUUCAAUAAUGCCCUUCAGAUACCAAAAUCUCCAGUUUGGCCACGUGCAUUGAUAGAAAUAAAUGCCUAAUUUCUAAAUCUCCAUUUUCUUUUUGAUCCAGGUAGACGGUCUGGAUGUUGGUUAGUUGCCACGAAGCAAAUGACAGUGAGAUGCAUCGAGGGUUUGCGUUCCCUGUGAAGGGGCAGGGGGGCCGCAGGGACAGCGCAGGGGAGGGGUCUUUUCCGCGGAAGGCACAACUGGCUCUUUCCCUGGCUGUGCCUCUCCAGCCCAGCAGUGCCCAGAACGGCCACACGGCCUGCAGGGACACCAUGCUUCCCUCUUGCCUUCACGGGUUUUAUCCCCACUUGAUCAGAGGGGCCUGCUUUCUGCUGAGAACCUAAUCUUGAAAUGAAUCCUUUACUCUCUGAGGAUUUAAACAGGUCUUUCAGAUUAAAAGUAUAUUACAUAUUUAUGAGCUCUGAUUUCAAGAAUCACUUUGAAAGAGCUAUUGAUGCUGCUUUAUACUAAAGAUUUGUGCUUGGUCGCUUUUGAUUCAGCCUUGGUUUUAUUUGCCAGAGGUUCCAAACCAUGCUGAUAAAUCUCUGAGGGUCCACUUCCUCCCUGCGAGAGGAACGUUGUUUGGGUCCCUGUCAGCAUCUCAUGGAACUGUCUGCCACUGGAUCAAGAAAAGCAAUUUUCUGAAGUUAAAAUGGCAGCCCACAGUGUCAGGCAGUGCCCGUGAGGAUGGUGACCUGCUAAGGAACCUUAGGGUGCUCAUUCAGUGCAGCAGGAGAGAGGAUAUCAUGGUCUAUUGAAGCCACGUCCCUGAUGUUCGUGGUGAAGAGGGAUCCCAGAAAUGGUUAUUAUGCACUUUUAAAAUGCAUCAUUGCUUGAGUGUCCCUGAUUCCCUUUUUAUUUAUAAAGGUCAUUGCCUUUAAAUGACUUGCUUCCUGCAUGAACAGAUCCCAGGCGAGCUGAGAGAAAAGAAAAGACAAUUGAAAGAAACCGAAAUUAUUUUUUGAGCUCUUAGGAAGAGACAGAGAGUCAAAUGAACCUUGUUUCCUGAUUGCCACAGUUCAAAUACAAUCAAAGGUUUUGCUUUCUUUAAAUUAAAAAUGAAAUUUCUUGGGGAAGGCAUUUCCCCCUCUUUGAAGAAGGGAGAGAAAAACACCCGGAAGCAGGGGCGCUUUGCAAGCCUCCUGGUGCCUGAGCAGAAUUGCUAAGUGUGUCUCCCUCUCUGAGCUGGGCUGUCUGUAUUCACUGUAUCACAAGCUUGAAACCAGACCUCAUUUGACGGAGCCAAAAAAUGGUCCUUUUGUUGCCGUUUUCCCCCCCCCAGUGUCAUCUCUCACGGUUGCCCAGGCAACCGGUGUGUAUCCUUUCAGCAUAGGUUACUGGGCCCGGAAGGAAGUGCUCCAGUGCUGGCCUGCUAUUUUUAUAGAACCGUUACACAAUACAAUCCAUUAAAGCUUCCUCUUGGUGUUUUAUUGCACAAAGGGGAAAUUAAGUUUGAUGAUUCCAGAAUGUUGGACGGAGGCGGUCAGGUGCUGGGAUUGUUGCACUCCGCAUUCCCGUGUGCAAUUUGAGGAGGACUGGUGUAUGUGUGUGCCCUUGGCAAUGUGCGCCUGCCUGGGGAUCAUUAGAGGAGACCGAGCUCUCAGUCGCUCAAGGGUGCAAGUUUUGUCCGACUACACAAUGCUCUCUCUCUGGUAGGAUGGCAACAGACAAUGGAACCCUAUUCACAGCUAAGGGCAAAGGGAAUUUUAAAGGUGUAGCACAUAUGCUUUUCAUAGCCCGGAUGUCUACUGGCAAAGAGAAUUGCACUGAAAGACAGGGACCAGGGGUCUCCCAAAGACUAGCACUGAAGCAUCUCAUGGUCGCCUUUGCCUCUGGCUCUGCAAGGUCCUGGAGUGGCAGGCAAGGGGCUGGGGUGCAGUGGGCAUGGUGUCCCGUGGUGACUCAGAGCCUUUGCGACUUUCUGGAGGACCGAGAGAGGACAAAAACGCUUUGCUCCUUGACCCGUCUUACUGGCUUCGGUUCUCUACCAGCCUGGAAUAAGGAAGGUACAGAGUGUGUCAUGUCAGAAGUUCUGUCCCGGAGCAAAAAGGAACCCUUGUGUCCAGGGAGGCUUAAGGCCCCAGUGCCCGGGGUUCCGUGGAUGGACACAGUCUACACCACCAUCUCCUCUUCUCCACCGUCCAUCGCUGUGGCGGAACCACCAGGCCCUGCCUCUUCCACCUCGUCCCCGCCUGCUCUUCUCCCAGGCACAACUCCCAGGAUUCCCAGCUGCCUGCUGGAGAGCUCUUCUCAGGGUCUCACUUUACCUUGAACCCAAGAAGUUUAAGUGGAAACCUCCUGCUUCUUCCUUUACACUCUAACAUUCCUCACACCACGUGGGGGUUUUCUCCCCCAUGUCAACCUGGUCUUCAGUUCUUGUGGACACUGACAGGCACCCCACACUUUAAUCCCUUCUGCUCUAAUAGCCUGGAGUCAGGCAGAGACCCCUGUCCGGGCUCAGCCCCUCCCUAGGGGUAGAGGGUAAGAAAGAUGCCAUCCAGAGACCCAGUUAGAACAAGCAUGAAGGGAUGAUUUAGCGGGAUAGAAGUACCCUACAUGUGGAGCAGGCCGCCUCCAAGAGAGGAAAUGAGUUUUCAUACCUGGUCUGCGACCCUCCCUCUGCACAGUGACCUCCCUCUGGGGUUACCAUGGUUCCUGCCAUGGCUUAGGGAACCCACACCAAUUUCGCCAUGUUGGAAAUUUUCCAGAGAGAUCACAUCUGUUUUCUCCAGAUUGACAGGGCUGCCUGACCACAAGGUCGCCGUCCCUACGCAGCAUGAUGGCAGCAGGGCACACAACCCAGGGAGGAGCUUGGGUUCUUCCCCACCUCCUUGCUCAUGUCUAUCCACCUACUCCCCAUCUUUAGACACCAGGACCAAGUGGCGGGUCCCCAGCUUACCAUGACUUCUGUCCAAUUUGGCUACAAAUUAGAGGUUCUAGGAUCCCUCCCCAGAGUUGAGAGUUUUCCAGAAUGGCCCCAGAACCCAGGGAAUGUGGUUAUCCUAGAUCUGUUAGGAUGCAGAUGAACAGCAGAUGGAGAGACACAUAGGAAGGGUUCAGGACAGUCCCAAGCACAGGAGCUUCUGUCCCCAUGGGGUUUGGGGGUGAAGAUGCUUACCAACAUGAAAACUCUUUGAAUCCCGAAUCCCUUCCCUUAGGAACUUGAUCAUGCAGCAUGGCCGGCUUCAUGUUGGGUGUGGAUGGCUUCUACCUUCAGCUCCUCUUCCCUCCUAGGAGAUCUGGGGUGGGGCUAAAAGUCCAAACCCUCUGAUCAUGGUUGGCUCCCUGGCCACCAGCCCCCAGUCCUUGCUGAUAAGCUGUCCCAAUGUCACCUCCUUAACAAACUCAGGUGUGGUUAAAGGGCUCAUGAAGGAGAAAAGAUGCUCCUUUUGGCCUUGGUGGGCCUGACGUUGUUUCAGAAGCCAGGACAAAGACCAAGAGGCGUACCUCAUUCUGUCACAAUAUCCAACACGAACACGGGUCUUCAGCUCCCCCAGUCAAUGACUUUUACUAACUCCCUGGUAACUGAACUCAACGCUAACUCUUGACGUUGGGCUGGUCUAGUGCUGUCAUUGUACACCUGGAGAGAGCGCCCAAGGAGGGGAGGUGGUUUGUUCAAGGUCACCCAGAGAGCUGGGGCAGAAGAGAGGGGCACCUCUUACCAGGCCCUGCAUUCCUCCAGGGCUCAAUGGACUGUGCUCCCACAGCCAGGGUGGCCGAUCCUUCUUCCCUGGUCUCUUAGAAAUCAUUCCUGCUUUCCCAUGUCCACUCUGAUCAGGAUAACUGAGGCCCUCAUUUAAUCAAGCCAGGACUAUUUAGUUUCCUAAUUGAUUGUGGUCUUCACUUCUGCUGCUUGAAUCAAUUUUACUUCUGAAAUCAUCUCACAACUUUAUUGUGUCACUUUAUUAUGCAACAGUUUUGAUAACUUAUAUUGAAGCCUGAAUUUAAGGCUCCAUAACCUGACUUCCUCCUCACCCUUCCAAUUUGCCUGUCCAGGUUUAUGGCCCCUCCCUACCUGUGGCUUUCUGUUGGGAAAGGUUGGUUUUAUUCACCAUUCUCUUUUUACAGGUCAGAGAUACAUUGAUUGCUUCCUUUCUAUUGCCUCAAAGAGGAAAGAGUCCCAAUUCUUAUUCUGUAGCAUUUCCAGAAAAUCCAACAUGACAGGCAGCUGAUGGAAUAGUAAUAAACAUUUGGUGCAAAUCUUCAUUUGCUCAUGUUACCAAUUUCUUACACCAAACUGGAUCCAUUUUCCCUCUUGGAAUUUGGAACCAAUGACAAGAUCCAGUGCUGUUUGAGCAGACAAGAAAUGUGUCUUUUUGGCUGGAGAACAGAAGCAGGGAGACAAACUCAUAGAUCAGCUUUUCAACCUAAACAAAGGGUGGGUCCUCAUGAGGGUGAGGGCAGAAUUUUAGAUAACCAGUAGGAGGAUUAUUCAUGACUUUUCCAGAAAGGGGGUUGGGUCUACCUUGGGGACACGGAACUGCCUUCCUCUGAUCCUUUAUGUAGGCCAGUUCUAGUCUGGGUGGGAAGCAACCCAACCAAGAUGGCGCUGCUGGGUGGGAAUUCUACUGGGGCACUGUGUUAGGGUGGAUGGUAAUGAAUCUGGUGUGAACAGUAGGUCUACAUGCUGUCCUUUGUGACUGAAACUAGUUUUGCCUGUUCCAUUCUGUGUCCUGUUUUGCAGCAGCAGCUGGGGUCUUCAGAGACCUAUGUGGCCAGUUAGGUCUCAGUAUUUUGGCAGAAACAGAGUGCUGGCUAGCGAAAAGAAUUAUUUUUCGAGAGGGUGUCUGUCUAGUGAUUAAACAGGUGAAACACUUCCCUUGUGCUCAAGGGGUGACCAAAAGGACAUGGCUCUUGGUGCCUUGAAGUUUGUGAAGAGCAGAGGGAGACAUUACAUGAAAAUAUAUAGCUCCUAAGACGCGAUCACACCCAGAACCCACGGGCCACUGGGGUUUUAGGGCUACAAGGAUCCGCGAGUUAGGGUUCCUGAGAGCAAAUGGGUGGGGUGGGAUAGCUGGGACCUCAGGGAAGAUGCCCCCAGCAAGUGACAUGCCAAAGCCUGAAGAGUGAGACCCAGCUGGAGCAGCAAAGAGGGCAGGGUGGUCAGACAGAAGGAGCAGAAGCUUGGCCGGGGUGGGGGGCAUGAUAAAAAGUUCUUUCUUAAAACCUUGGACCUGAAGAAGCUGCUCUGCCCAGGAAGGGGGCAGUAUGGGAUGGGAGGCCCAGCUCACCCCUCUCCGCCCCUUGGCCCGCUCCUGGGGAGGACUGGGCAGGGACCAGCUGGGGGUGGCCGUCCCCCCAGGCUGCCUGUUCCCAGCCCUGGCAGCCAGAGCGCCCUCCCAGCCUCCCCUCUCAGCUUACCUGCUCCUCCUCAGAGUGGAGGCUGAGGCCGCGGCCUGCCGUCAGAGUGAGGUGAACCACGGAUGGUUCCCGAGGGCGCCAGCUGCCAACCUGGUGGGUCGCAGCCAUCCUCUGUCAUCGUCACCACAGGAGCUUCCUGUGAGAGCCAGACUUCCUCCCAGUGAGUGCCGACUCCCGGUCACACGGUCAGGGGCCUCCCCGCGUCCCCUCUCUGUAGUGAGCUGGAGAAAGAGCACCUUUGUCCUCUCCCUGCUCUGCCCACGGCUCCCUGUGAGCCAGCUGCUCGCAGUGUGUCGGACGACUUCUGAGGGCGUCGACUGUCCUCUCUGUGUUUUCUGGUGACCCACCAAAUAUUUUUCUGUGGCUCCAGCUAAAGACAGGAUUUCCCUCUUCUAUUAAUGAACAGAAAAAGUAACCUCUCAUUUACCAGGUCUUUGGCAUUCCUGAAGGGGAAAUUUGUUGCCACUUGGAGGUUGGGGUCAGGCUAAGCUAUUUGGAGGACUGAGAGGCAGAAGUGACAAGGCUAAUCAGUCACCUAGCUGAUGACAGUCUACCUCAGAACUCAGCAUGUGCCGCGAAUAGGCAGUGAGCUGCUAUAAAGGCACUGAAAUUUCUUGAACAUUCUUUGUUUCUCUUGGGAGAAAAGAGAAUUUUAUCUUUGGGGGACAUGGUUCCAUUUAAGGAGAGCAGUGUUUUCCAAGGCAAAGGAGAUAGAAUCCACGCGUCUGGUUUUUACUGAGAUUGGGACGCAGGAGGCUUUUCCCAGUGAGCUUAGUUUCUGGACCAGGUGCACCAGCAGGUCUGGCUGCCUGGGCUCCAUCUCUUCUGUCUGCUGGCUGUGGGUCCCUUGCUGCUGUCUCCUUCCUGUCUCCUUCCUGCUGCAUCUGCCUGUGAGGUGCUGGAACACCGUUUGAGAGCCGUGGCAGGGGCCUGAAGUACCGAAUGCCCGCCGUCCCUACCGCCCAGGGUGGAGAGAGUGCGUCUCUGCAGGAGAACACACGAUGAAUUUGCAUUGGGUGCUUUUCGGGUUCUUGUGCUCAGCCUUGAGGCAGCUGGGAGGAUGUAGUUUCACGGGUGUCUGGUUUUAGGCUUUAAAUACUGUGGUCUUUUGGGUCCCUUCCGCUUUAACAAUGCAUACCUUCGCAUAAGAGAAACUGCAGAGGUUGAGUCACUGAAUUUAUGUGACAGUCCAGGGACAGGGUGGCCAUACACACCGUUAGACACCUGGUUUUACUUCAUUUGUGAUUAUCUCACUCUUAAGGGCACAAGAGUGACAUUAUAUACUUUGUAUUUGGCUUCUACUUUGUAGGUUAGGACAAAAAAGACAAGUAAAAUUUUACAGAAUUUUUGCUUAUUGAACAUGGGUCACAUGAAUAGUCGUGUGAGAUUGAUAAAACUUCUAAGAGUAGCACUGACUUGCCACGUCUCACCCUGCUGCAGACACUCUCAGUUUUGCAGAUGCUUUGGGGUGCUGGUCAACCAGGAGGAAGCAAGAGUUUUCGCCAUCUUCAAAUCCAUUAUUGGGAGAGGUCUAAAGGCAGAGAAGUUGCGAUCUGUAAGGCAGUUGGAAGGUCUAGCGCAGUUGCUUUCCUUGCCGGGGUCACCAGUAAAGCUACAUGGCUGCUCCGAAUGCCAGGCUGCAGGCUGGGGGACACACAGGGCCCAUUAUGUCCUGGGUCACAGCCUCCACCUGCAGGAAACCCACCAUGCAGGAGCCAGGCAGCAGGCCAGAUGACUGACACACACAAUGACCUUGUUUGACUUAGGUCAUGAUGUUGAGAGCGCACCCGCUGGGGUCCUUGCGCGCCUCUUCACAGCAGAGUGACCUUGAGGUGCCUUCAGCCUGUCUGAGCCCACUCGGUCCCAGCUGCAGAACGGGGGUGAUAGUGGUCUCUUCCUCUUAAGAUCAAUGUGGAGAAGAAACCAGGAAUCACAGCUAAAAACUUAGCACCCAGUACAGACGCUGUAAAUGUUAAUUAUUGCUAUUACUGGGCUCAGUUUCAUCAAUCAUUUAAAGUAUUUUAAAACCAUUAUGUUAUAAAUUCUAAAUAUCAAAACUAGUAGCUUAUCAUAAGCUCAAGGCAUUCAUUCACAAGGAGCGUUAAUGUCUGCUGCGUCUAAGACCCUGUGCAGGACCUUGCAAGACAGAAAUCGGAAUAAGAAGGACUCCUUUCUCUCAGUGUGUGUGUGUGUGUGUGUGUGUGUGUGUGUGUGUAUGCUGCAGAUUUUAAGUAUCCCAAGAUGGGGAAAAAGGAAAUAGGAAAAGUGAAGCUUGGUGACAUUUUCUUUUGCUCUGUUAUCUAUUCUUCCUGAUACUGGCCUGUCAUUAAUUAAUUAAUUAAUUAAUCUAUUUGUAUUGGGGAUUGAACCCAGGGGCACUCAACCACAGGGCCACAUCCCCAGCCUUUUUAUGUUUUAUUUAGAGACAGGGUCUCACUGAGUUGCUUAGGGCCUCACUAAGUGGCUGAGGCUGGCUUUGAACUCAUGAUCCUCCUGCCUCAGCCUCCUGAGCUGCUGGGAUUAUAGGCGUGCACCAUCAGGCUCGUCUGUUAUUUGUUUUUUAGGAGUUUCUCUCCCAACAAAUUUUCUGGGUUUCGACAACUUUCAGUGAGGUCUAACAGCUCUCGAUUCUCUCUGAUGGAGGCCGGCCUGGCUUCAGGGAGCCUGUAGGCCACCGCGCCUGCCACCCAGCCUUCGCUGCUGUGCGCACACAAGCAGGACCCCCCGCCACACACACACACACACACCGGGCUGCUGCGAGGGCCAGCCUUUCUGGCAGAACCUCCUGAGGGAGAUUUUUUCAUGAAGUCCCGGGUCAGGAGACUAGAGCAGAGGCGCCUCCUCCUGUGGGACCUCGUGCAGCAGCCCAUCCCCUCCUGGGCGGGGGUUCCCGCGGGGUGGUGUGUGAAAAUGCGCUGCAUUCUUCCGUUUUUCUCUUUGGUGCUCUCUGCAGCUCUUUUAUGUGUAUUUUCUUUUUCUUGCUGUUACUUUUCUCAAGAAAGAGCCCAGUGGCCUCCGCCCGUCUCGUUACAUCACCAUCUCACUGGGAAGCCGCCUCUUGCUCUCCUCUUAGCCACAAGCUCCUGGUUUGUGGACACGAUUUCUGGACCCCCAUCUCCUGGCUGUUGCCAUCUGACAGGCACAGUUUGUACGGUGGCUGGCUUUCUUUGACCCACAGUUUUUGCUUCCAAUGCUGCUCCCCUAAAUGAAGUGCUUCGGGCCCCAACAGGGUGCCUGCAGUUUCCUGUUUGUUCAGGCCACUGAUUUCUUCAUCUUUUGUUGCAGUGAGAACCCUGGGCAACUGUCUUCUUGGCUGCUCUUGGCAAUGCAACCUCUGACGUGGUUUGAAGUCAUGGGUCCCCUCUGGAUGUCUCUUAAGUCCGUAUUACAGGGCUCUUGGUGUAACGGACACACACAUCCAAGACAGCACCACUGUCAGUGACUCUCCACUUGAAUCUCUCAAAAACAUAGUGCUGCACCACAUGCAGUUACUGAGCAGGUAAGACGUGGUGAGACAGCAAUC